rnacentral:rRNA from 1 species
GAUGAACGCUGGCGGCGUGCCUAAUAUAUGCAAGUCGAGCGAACAGAUGAGGAGCUUGCUCCUCUGACGUUAGCGGCGGACGGGUGAGUAACACGUGGAUAACCUACCUAUAAGACUGGGAUAACUUCGGGAAACCGGAGCUAAUACCGGAUAAUAUAUUGAACCGCAUGGUUCAAUAGUGAAAGACGGUUUUGCUGUCACUUAUAGAUGGAUCCGCGCCGCAUUAGCUAGUUGGUAAGGUAACGGCUUACCAAGGCAACGAUGCGUAGCCGACCUGAGAGGGUGAUCGGCCACACUGGAACUGAGACACGGUCCAGACUCCUACGGGAGGCAGCAGUAGGGAAUCUUCCGCAAUGGGCGAAAGCCCGACGGAGCAACGCCGCGUGAGUGAUGAAGGUCUUCGGAUCGUAAAACUCUGUUAUUGGGGAAGAACAAAUGUGUAAGUAACUAUGCACGUCUUGACGGUACCUAAUCAGAAAGCCACGGCUAACUACGUG